AGGUUAUAAGGCAGACAGGAUGAACACUUUACGUUAACUUUACAAGAAAACAAUACUGGAAAGGCCUUCUCCUGGGACACAUGAGAGACAAUGAAGAUGGAUUAUGGAGCUAGAAGAAGACACAGACUCAUAAAGAGAUGACUAAUGUGUAAUAAAUAAAUAUAAUGUCAGUGGUAGACCCAGAGGUUGAGAAAAGGCUUCCAGAAGACUCAUUGACAUAGUCUGAAAGGAUGAAUAAGAGAUGGUGCAGUGAAGGGAGUGAGUACAUGUGGGCAGUGGACUAUCAUGUGUACAAACACAUGGAGAAGAGAACAGACAGAGUUCUGGAGGGAGUUUGAGACUGGACUAGGUAUUUUAAUGCUAGGAAGGGAUGAGUAAGAGAUACAACUAUAGAAGGGUCAGAUCAUGCAGGAUUCCAUCAUUCAGGCUAAGGAGGAUAAUUUUAACAUUAUUUGAACUGGUCUCUUAUUCAGUAGUUCUCAAUAUAAUCUCACACCCAGAGGAUUAGCAGGCAGGGGGUGAUAUCCAUUAUUAUGAAGAUGACAUGUAAAACUGUAAGAUAAAUAUGAGUUUUAGAUGGAAAAUAAUUCGCAAUGUGAUUUUAUGUUGCAGUAAAUAGAUAUAUGUGAUAUAUAUAUAUAUAUAUAAAAUACAAUUUGGAUUUCUUUAAACCACAGAAAUUAAAGAAAUCUCAGGCUUUGAGUGGGUUAAUUUUUAUUAGAGUCUAUUAUCUCCUCUUCAUUUAUUAUCUUCUGCUUUUAAGUUACAUAUGAAAAUCUAUUAGAACCAAUAGCUCCAAUGAAAAUGUGAUUCUACCCAAGUUACUCUACUUGGGGGAAUAACCUAAUGUACAUUCACAAGUAGAAAUGAGUUGUUUUUGACUCUGUAGCAAAGCAAGUUUUGUAUAAGCAAAUAUGUGUAUUUUUCUGGUGUCAAGG
rnacentral:lncRNA from 1 species